UUUUAUCUAACAGAGAACUUUUUAGAGAGAGAGAGAGAGAGAGAGGGUGUCCUUCCAUAAAGGACUGUUCUGUUCGAGCUAUUCGAUCUAGAGAGAGAAAGUUUUGUGAGAGAGAAAAGAGGAUACCUAAUUAGAUUGGACGCAAAGAUUGCUUUACAAAGUUACUCGCCGGAAUUGCACGUGAAAUAGAAUAAUUGGUUGCGAUCUCGACGGAGAAAGGUGUGUCCAGUCGGGGAUAGGAUAUCGAUCUUUUGAGUUUGAAACGAGAAGAUAACAAAAAGAAAAGCAGAGAUGGUGAAUUCUAUGGUGGAACGGGCCACGAGUGACAUGUUGAUCGGGCCUGACUGGGCCAUGAAUAUCGAGAUCUGUGAUAUUUGCAAUCAUGACCCUGCACAAGCAAAGGAUGUCGUUAAAGGUAUAAAGAAGCGCAUUGGAAGUAAGAAUUCGAAAGUUCAACUUCUUGCCCUAACACUAUUGGAGACGAUUGUAAAGAAUUGUGGGGACAUUGUUCACAUGCAUGUUGCAGAGAAGGAUCUUCUUCACGACAUGGUGAAGAUAGUGAAGAAAAAGCCUGACUUUCAUGUCAAAGAGAAGAUACUGACUCUAAUUGAUACCUGGCAAGAAGCUUUUGGUGGACCAAGGGCAAGAUAUCCACAAUAUUAUGCCGCAUACCAGGAGUUGUUGCGUGCUGGGGCAGUGUUUCCUCAGAGGUCUGAGAGGUCUGCACCUGUAUUUACUCCUCCACAAACACAACCUCUGUCAUCUUAUCCUCAAAAUCUACGGAAUAAGGAGUAUCGGCCAGAGGCAGCGGAGACUUCUGCAGAGGCUGACUUUCCAGCAUUGAGCAUUGUUGGUGCAGACAAGUUUUACUUGAUCAUUUAGUGUAGCUUAAUGCAACUGUUCUUCGUGCAAAUGGAAAUUUAUAUAAAAAGAAGUGGUAAAAUGAGUAAGAGGCACUGCAAUAGUCCCCUUCUGACUGUACUUUGUGUAAAGACCACAGCAACUGAGAGAGAUAUUGAGAGAGAUCAAGAAUUCUCAUUAUUUCUUAGAUUCAUGGAUCCAAUUGUUGUGGAUGAGGAACCUAAUUCUUACAUUAAGUCUGAGGUGCAGAGGAAAAAGAAAAAUUCAGUAAAAUUUGUAUACUGGGAAGGUCUGAAAUGCUUCUGACAAUCUCUAUCCUUUAUCGCUUGACGGAAAUUCAGAAUGCGCGAGGUAUCAUGGAUGUCCUUGCAGAGAUGUUAAGUGCAUUAGAUCCGGGAAACAAAGAGGGACUUAGGCAGGAGGUUAUUGGUUGACCUGGGGUGGAACUAGUGUCCAUCGAUCCAAUACAC